rnacentral:rRNA from 1 species
GACAGCAGCCGCCGCGGUAAUACAGAGGGUGCGAGCGUUAAUCGGAUUUACUGGGCGUAAAGCGUGCGUAGGCGGCUAAUUGAGUCGGAUGUGAAAUCCCCGAGCUUAACUUGGGAAUUGCAUUCGAUACUGGUUAGCUAGAGUGUGGGAGAGGAUGGUAGAAUUCCAGGUGUAGCGGUGAAAUGCGUAGAGAUCUGGAGGAAUACCGAUGGCGAAGGCAGCCAUCUGGCCUAACACUGACGCUGAGGUACGAAAGCAUGGGGAGCAAACAGGAUUAGAUACCCCUGUAGUCCCUGUCUCUUAUAA